ensembl:lncRNA LINC00710 long intergenic non-protein coding RNA 710
AGUCAAUGACUCAGGGUAGCCACCGAACAUGAUGCUCGGGCAGUGGGUGCCACCUGGACUCCACUCUCCCCUCUCUCUGGGAUCAUAGAGUCCAAGGUGUUCUGUGGCCUCUCGGCCAAUCCCAGCAGCUCAGCGUGCAGAAGACCGAGGAGCCAUUGGAAUUCAACACAACACGAAAUAAUCAACAAAUUCGGGGAAUGUUAAUCUGACCAUCACCAGUUACAAAUGAUGUUUCAUGCUACCUUCUAUUCCUGCCUUCAUAAAUCAAGGAAAAGAAAAAGAGAACAUAUAUCCCCCUACCUUUUGAUUUCCAACAGUCUACUGAGAGGCCAAGAUUAUUUGCAGGGAAAGAAAAGGGGUCAAAAUGUUUUGCCAGUAACUCCCAAAUCAUCUACAGCCAAGGAGAAAAGUGUUUCAAGACAGAGGUGCUCAAUGGUAUCAAAUACUGCCAACAGACCAAGUAAUACAUGCAUUGAAGUGUCUACUGGAUCUAGCUAUAUAUGAAGAAACUGAGGCAGACAGAGGUGAAGAAACUUGCACAAGGUCAAAGAACAAUCUUUCAGAAAAUGGCAUUGCGUACUGAGGACAGUGAGAAAUAGGAGGUUAUGUUUCCUAUCAAAGCCCUCCAUGUAGAAAGGUGAGCUCUCAGAGAUGAUCUGAAUUAUCUUUGCUUCCACCGUUUCUGCCUAUUGCUACCUGAUCUGUCACAUCCAUGACUGAGAAAUAUUGUCAGCUGGAGAGGCAUUUAUAUUGAAACCUCAUUCCAUUUGAACAAGUGGGGUUUCACCAUGAUUUAUUUAAAACACAUCUACCGAAACGCAACACCCUUCAUCCUAAAAACCAGAUCUUGAAAAACAUGAUUGUAACGGGGAAAACAACUGCUCAGAUUGCUAAAUUGUCCUUUGCUACAAGCAAAAAUAAAAGCAAGGAGUCAUUUA